AUAUUACAUAAAUCUAAACAUUAAAAGUUUGUUUUCAUAAUUAAGUAAUGAGUCUAAAUACUGGAAUUUAAAUGUUGUUGUUUUUGUUUCUUUUAUUUGUGCACAAUGGUAAAUAAAAUAUUUAAAAUAUCAAAUUAAAAAAACUUAAAUAUGCAUUAAAAACUAAUGUUGAUUCAUUAAAAUACUGAUUUAAAAAACGAACACCAAAUCUUAAAAGAUAUUAAAUAUAAAUAUUAAGCGUAACUGUUACAUGUUCUUGCAGAAAUCCGAUGCUGGUCUGCUUCGUUCCAAACAAGCCUGAUAAAACAUUUGAAGAAAACUGAACUAAAGGUUGGCAGUGUUGCUCAAAUCUGACUGCAGUACUUCCUUGUCCUUCGCUGGUUUCCUAAUUAGCUACACCUGCCUUCAAGUAGUCACACAGCUGGCCAAUUAAGCAAGAAGGUAAGAAAAUAAAGUUUUGCAAAGAGUUUAGCUGACUCACUGUCUGUUCAUUAGUUUCUAGGUCCGUAGUUUGGUAGCAGCUGACAGAAGUGGCUGAAUUUGCUGCUUCCUGUAGCUGAAGCUAUGAUGUUUAUAUUAAGGCAAGCUUUAAAGCAGUUUUUUAAAGAUGAAUCAAAAACAUUUUUAAUGUCACUAUUAAAGCUUAUAGUCUCUUUUAUGUCAUGUCUAGAUGGUUGCUGUUGUUCUUGCUAGCUGUCAAAAGUCAUCAAGAAAAUGAUCAAGAAGUGCCCCAUACGGAUGAUCAACUGGAUUUAAGCAGCAUUUACUUUGGAAAUGAGACUUUAUGGAGCAGUGGGAUACUUGAUAAUUCAACCUUGAAUGAGAGUAACUACAACACAACAUUAACAGUGGAUUAUCAGCCUGAAGCCGAAACACUGGCACAAAACAGGUCUUUGCCAGAUCUCCAGUAUUCAUUAAGUCAUACUGAACCUCCACUAAAAGAAGCAGAGUCUGGUUUUCAGGUACAGGUGCUCCAACAGCAGCGUACUUUCUCAUCCAGGCAGUCACAAGAGCCCCAGGUGCCGCCACCUACCUCCCCACCCAGUGAGACUACCUGCCCAUCACAGGUGCUCUUGCAGGUGCCAAUGCCGCGCAGUCCUCCACUUUGGCAGCUGGAGGUACCACAGCAGCCCCGUUCUCCACUCCAUCGGCUGGGGGUGGCUAAGGUGUCCCAGGUCUCCCCAGAGUUCUACUCCCCAUCUAAACAGCUGUGGGUGCCAGAUGAGCCUGGUUCAUCACACCAGCGGCUGGAUUUAAUCCAAAUGCAUGAAUCCCCUCUCCAACGGCUACAAUUUGCAGAGGUGCGCCAGCAGCCUAGAGCUGAACUCAGACGGGCACAGAUGGCUCAGGUACCCCAGCAGCCAAGUAUCCGGCUCCAACAGCUGCAAAUGGCCCAGUGGCCCCAACGGCCACUCUACCAGCUCCUGAUCCCUCGCUACCAGGCCAAGUACUCGCACUACCAGCCUAUGAUAUCCCGUUACCAGGAAAGGCUGCUAGGACACCGACCCAAGACUCCGCUCUUUCGGAUCAAGCAUCUUCGACACCCCCAGCAGAUCAGAUAUACACGUUAG
ensembl:lncRNA